rnacentral:rRNA from 1 species
UACGUAGGGGGCAAGCGUUGUCCGGAUUUAUUGGGCGUAAAGAGCGUGUAGGCGGCCACACAGGUCUGCUGUGAAAACUCGAGGCUCAACCUCGAGCUGUCGGUGGAAACCGUGUGGCUAGAGUCCGGAAGAGGAGAGUGGAAUUCCCGGUGUAGCGGUGAAAUGCGCAGAUAUCGGGAAGAACACCCGUGGCGAAGGCGGCUCACUGGACCAUUACUGACGCUGAGGCACGAAAGCUAGGGGAGCAAACAGG